GACGAACGCUGGCGGCGUGCCUAAUACAUGCAAGUCGUGCGGACCUUUUAAAAGCUUGCUUUUAAAAGGUUAGCGGCGGACGGGUGAGUAACACGUGGGCAACCUGCCUGUAAGACUGGGAUAACGCCGGGAAACCGGGGCUAAUACCAGAUCGUUUUUUCCUCCGCAUGGAGGAAAAAGGAAAGGCGGCUUCGGCUGCCACUUACAGAUGGGCCCGCGGCGCAUUAGCUAGUUGGCGGGGUAACGGCCCACCAAGGCAACGAUGCGUAGCCGACCUGAGAGGGUGAUCGGCCACAUUGGGACUGAGACACGGCCCCAACUCCUUCGGGAGGCAGCAGUAGGGAAUCUUCCGCAAUGGACGAAAGUCUGACGGAGCAACGCCGCGUGAGUGAAGAAGGCCUUCGGGUCGUAAAACUCUGUUGCCGGGGAAGAACAAGUGCCGUUCGAACAGGGCGGCGCCUUGACGGUACCCGGCCAGAAAGCCACGGCUAACUACGUG
rnacentral:rRNA from 1 species